GGCCACUCCAGCGCGAGCCGGACCAGCGCCGCGAAGAUGUCGCUUUUGGCCUUGAAGUGCUUGUAAAGGGCCGGCUGCUCGACGCCGACGGCGGCCGC
rnacentral:tRNA from 1 species